rnacentral:lncRNA from 1 species
CCACCCAACCCAGAAUUACCCAGUCUGUGACAUUUAUCGUUGUAGCAGUUAAAAAGCAAACUAAAACAGAGGGCCAUGAUGGUUGUGAGGGAGUUACUUUCAAAGAUGAUGUGGCACUGGAAAGAGGAGACAGAAUAGGGCAAGCUAAAAUGUCACAAAACUUUCUGUUCUUCCUGAUAUUCAGCCAUUUUUCUUGAAUCAACGCUUCUCAGAUUGCUGCAAACAUUUGGCUCAUUUUCAGGGUUCUGAAACUAUUAUUAUUUGGGCUGUUCCUGAUAAAGAUAGUGUACAGGGUAGCUUUCUGACUUUCCAUACAUCAAUGACAACUUUUAUUGAAUUAUUAUCAUUGCAGUCUAAAAUAUUUAAAAUGCCUUAGUUCCCAUAUGAAAAGUUUAGCUGCAGUCAGAGGAUAGGAUUUAGUGUGCAUCAUCUUUUAAAUAUUGACUCUGAGCAUAGUCCCAGGAAACAGAAGGGCACUGCUCUGGCAGAGCCCACCCCCCAAUCCUAAGGGUGUUUGGUCUGUGAUGUGCCCCUUCAGUCCCCAGUGGCUGAGUGAACAGCCAUCCACCCAAGCAGAUCUGAAAGUGCAACAUUCAAGUUAGUAAAAAUCAAAAGAUAAUUACUGAAAUGCCAGCAUUGAUUAGUGUUUUGUGUUUGGGGAAAACAUUUUCCUCCAGGCUAUUAAUUCAUGCUCCACUCUUGGACAUUUAGACAAUGACGACAAGACCACUGUUUAUGAAUUUGAACUUGUCAGACCUUGGACAGGAUUUCAAGUACAGUAAAAGUGUGUUUUUACUGAAUCCAAGAGUCCUUUUCUCAAACCAACAAAUAAAACAAAAAAGGAAAAGGAAAAAUCAGAUGAAAUUUGAUGUUUCAUGAUUUCUGAUAUUUAUUAAGGAACCAAGCCCAUUCCGAUGGGCUACCAACAUGUAAAUUCGACUCUUGGUUAAGUUUCAGAAAUUUUUUAGGCUAAAGUGUUAAAAGCAAGCCCUCCACACCAUGGCCACUUUGGAGGUAGAAGAGCCACAUGAGUCAUCUCACCUCUGGCCACACUGCUACCUUUCCGGCUUCUCAAACACAGGGCCCAUUGUUGUUACCAAGUCUAAUUACUAGUCUGCUCCAGUAGAGCAAGAGAGUUUGUGUUGAUGUUACAAAAACAGUUUAUGCUACACAAGCUCUUUAUUCAUGUAAUAAUUACAGCGUAUUUGUCAUAAGCAUUUCGCAAGUGUUCCCUUUGGAUAAUACUGGCAAGAUUAAGUAACAGUUUCUCGCCAACUCUAUUGCUCAAGCACUUCAGACAUGAUGGCUUGAGAUUGCACGUAUUAUGCAUAUGUCUUUGGCUCACAGCAUCUUUAACCUUUUGCUUUUCUGACAUAUAAUCUCAUUGUGAGGCUGUGUCUAUUGUUUUCUAACACAAAUGCCGGGAACUACUUGAGCAAAAUGUUUGAUUUCCGUGUUCAAGGGGUAGUUUUUGUAAUGUUUGAGAGUAAGAUUCCAAGUCAGCCACACACUGCCAGAAACCAGGGACUUCAAAGAGUCUUCCUUCUGGAACUCUGAAGGAACUGAAAUUUCUGUUUCUCUAUUACAUCCAACUGGAUCAUUGGCAAUACACGAGUGUUGGCAAGAAGCACGCGUCACAGGGUUCCAGUUCUGCCUUAGAAAAGGUCAGCGGGAGGCACAAACCCCGGCCUGCGUUAUGCAGCCAUGGACUCGGGUCCCACAACCGUGCUUUGGAGCACAUUAUGCAAUGUUGCACCCUUGAUGAAUGGCUGCUUGCACAAGAAGUUUUUCAUUCCCUGACUGCAAGAGUCCUGGAAAUGAUUGACUUUGUGACAUAACUCUCAUCACACAAAUAUGGAAGGUUCAAGCAGAGCUUCAAAAUAAAGUGCUUCAGAAAUAAUGUGUUUUGGCUUCUUAACGUCUACACUAUUAACAACUGUUUUAGAACCACUGAGUGAGAUUAACCUAUUUAUG